rnacentral:rRNA from 1 species
GACGAACGCUGGCGGCGUGCUUAACACAUGCAAGUCGAACGGUAAGGCCCUUCGGGGUACACGAGUGGCGAACGGGUGAGUAACACGUGGGUGAUCUGCCCUGCACUUCGGGAUAAGCCUGGGAAACUGGGUCUAAUACCGGAUAGGACCACUGCCUGCAUGGGUGGUGGUGGAAAGCUUUGCGGUGUGGGAUGGGCCCGCGGCCUAUCAGCUUGUUGGUGGGGUGAUGGCCUACCAAGGCGACGACGGGUAGCCGGCCUGAGGGGGUGACCAGCCACACUGGGACUGAGAUACGGCCCAGACUCCUACGGGAGGCAGCAGUGGGGAAUAUUGCACAAUGGGCGCAAGCCUGAUGCAGCGACGCCGCGUGAGGGAUGACGGCCUUCGGGUUGUAAACCUCUUUCAGCACCGACGAAGCGCAAGUGACGGUAGGUGCAGAAGAAGGACCGGCCAACUACGUGCCAGCAGCCGCCGUAA